CGGAGGCAGCAGUGGGGAAUCUUCCGCAAUGGACGAAAGUCUGACGGAGCAACGCCGCGUGAGUGACGAAGGCCUUCGGGUUGUAAAGCUCUGUUGUCGGGGAAGAACGUCUUCUAUGUGAAUAAUGUAGGAGAGUGACGGUACCUGACGAGGAAGCCACGGCUAACUACGUGCCAGCAGCCGCGGUAAUACGUAGGUGGCGAGCGUUGUCCGGAAUUAUUGGGCGUAAAGCGCGCGCAGGCGGGAAAGUAAGUCUACUCUAAAAGUGCGGGGCUCAACCCCGUGAUGGGGUGGAAACUGCUUUUCUUGAGUGCCGGAGAGGAAAGUGGAAUUCCCAGUGUAGCGGUGAAAUGCGUAGAUAUUGGGAGGAACACCAGUGGCGAAGGCGACUUUCUGGACGGUGUCUGACGCUGAGGCGCGAAAGCUAGGGGAGCGAACGGGAUUAGAUACCCCGGU
rnacentral:rRNA from 1 species